rnacentral:rRNA from 1 species
CAGGGCGGCAUGCUAUACAUGCAGUCGAGCGAACAGACGAGGAGCUUGCUCCUCUGACGUUAGCGGCGGACGGGUGAGUAACACGUGGAUAACCUACCUAUAAGACUGGGAUAACUUCGGGAAACCGGAGCUAAUACCGGAUAAUAUAUUGAACCGCAUGGUUCAAUAGUGAAAGACGGUUUUGCUGUCACUUAUAGAUGGAUCCGCGCCGCAUUAGCUAGUUGGUAAGGUAACGGCUUACCAAGGCAACGAUGCGUAGCCGACCUGAGAGGGUGAUCGGCCACACUGGAACUGAGACACGGUCCAGACUCCUACGGGAGGCAGCAGUAGGGAAUCUUCCGCAAUGGGCGAAAGCCUGACGGAGCAACGCCGCGUGAGUGAUGAAGGUCUUCGGAUCGUAAAACUCUGUUAUUAGGGAAGAACAAAUGUGUAAGUAACUAUGCACGUCUUGACGGUACCUAAUCAGAAAGCCACGGCUAACUACGUGCCACC